rnacentral:lncRNA from 1 species
AUGGGAAAAACAAAGAAUCAUAUCAACAUUGCCGUCAUUGGACAUGUAGAUUCAGGCAAGCCCACCAUCUGAUUGACAAAAGAACCAUCAAAAAAUUUGAGGGGGAGGCUGCCAAGAUGGAAAAGGCCUCCUUCAAGUAUGUCUGAGUCUUGUAAAAACUGAAAGCUGAAUGUAAGCAUGGUUUCACCAUUGCUAACUCCUGUGGAAACUGGAGACCAGCAAGUAUUAUGUAACCAUCACUGAUGCUCCA